GACGAACGCUGGCGGCGUGCUUAACACAUGCAAGUCGAACGGAAAGGCCCUGCUUUUGUGGGGUGCUCGAGUGGCGAACGGGUGAGUAACACGUGAGUAACCUGCCCGUGACUUUGGGAUAACUUCAGGAAACUGGGGCUAAUACCGGAUAGGAGCUCCUGCUGCAGGGGGGGGGUGGGAAAGUUUCGGCGGUUGGGGAUGGACUCGCGGCUUAUCAGCUUGUUGGUGGGGUAGUGGCUUACCAAGGCUUUGACGGGUAGCCGGCCUGAGAGGGUGACCGGCCACAUUGGGACUGAGAUCCGGCCCAGACUCCUACGGGAGGCAGCAGUGGGGAAUAUUGCACAAUGGGCGGAAGCCUGAUGCAGCACCGCCGCGUGCGGGAUGACGGCCUUCGGGUUGUAACCCGCUUUCGCCUGUGACGAAGCGUGAGUGACGGUAAUGGGUAAAGAAGCACCGGCUAACUACGUG
rnacentral:rRNA from 1 species